GUGGGGAAUAUUGGACAAUGGGGGCAACCCUGAUCCAGCCAUGCCGCGUGAAUGAUGAAGGCCUUCGGGUUGUAAAGUUCUUUUGGAGGGGACGAUGAUGACGGUACCCUCAGAAUAAGCUCCGGCUAACUUCGUGCCAGCAGCCGCGGUAAUACGAAGGGAGCUAGCGUUGUUCGGAAUUACUGGGCGUAAAGGGCGCGUAGGCGGUUUGGUUAGUCAGAUGUGAAAGCCCAGGGCUUAACCCUGGAACUGCGUUUGAUACUGCCAAGCUUGAAUUCGGGAGAGGUGAGUGGAAUUCCCAGUGUAGAGGUGAAAUUCAUAGAUAUUGGGAAGAACACCGGUGGCGAAGGCGGCUCACUGGACCGACAUUGACGCUGAGGCGCGAAAGCGUGGGGAGCAAACAGGAUUAGAUACCCCUGUAGUCC
rnacentral:rRNA from 1 species